UCUUCCUGGGUGCGGUAGAAAGUAUGAGAUUGUGUAAGCUGCUGCCUGCACUUCCUACUCAUAUAAUAGGUCAAAAUAAUUACACAAAGUUUGGAUUUUUUUGUCCCUCAAUCUCUGUCGCGGUAUUUGAUUAAAUCACGGAAAAUGAAACUUGCGUCGCUCCUUUGAGCCCAUGCGCCGAGUUUUGUGGAUAGAGGCUUGUCGUGUGACUCCAUCGCUGCAGUAGCGAAAAAGAAACAAAACGGCGCCAUGAAUACGACUGGAAAACGGACAAAAACUGGAUUUCUCUGCAAAAAUUGCAGGUUUUGACAGGUCGCGGGGGGUACUGGAGCAUAUGUCAGCUGCUUUGGGCGGAAGGCAGCGUACAACCUGGACAAGUCGCCACCUCAUCGCAGGGCCAAUGUUUCUGAAGACUCCAGUGUGAACGCGCACAGGCCCCAACGCGGCCCCAAUUUGGCCUCGAAGUAACUUGCAUGCGCAGUGCAAGAAAGAAAACAAAGGAAGCUGUGAUUUGACACUUUUACAAAUAUGCAACAUACUGUGAAACCACACCAAACAAGAAUGAAAAACACAUUUCGGGAGAACAUCCGCACCGUAACACAACAUAAACACAACAGAACAAAUACCUAGAACCCCUUGCAGCACUAACUCCUUCGGGACGCUACAAUAUACACCCCCCCAACCCCGCCCACCUCAACCUCCUCAUGCUCUCUCAGGGAGAGCGUGUCCCAAAUUCCAAGCUACUGUUUUGAGCCGUGUUAAAAA